CUGGAGAGACUCGGGGGAGAAAGCGUUGUGCUUGAUGGCACGGUUUCCUUGGGCAAAGGAUGCUUUGGCAGCAGAGGUUUGCUGUCAGGAGGCAUGAAAGCACUGAAGCCAAUGCUGCCGUGCCCUGGGCCCAGAGACAUCAGCUCCCAGCACGUCCCUGGCGGUGGAUGUGUGCAAGCUCUGUGUCUGCCGGUGGUUGCUGCAAAGGCUUUGUGGUCAGCUGUGCGUGGCUGUUUUGCUCUUGAGGGCGUGGGAACAGAGGGCAACACGCUGAUGGGAGUGAUGGUGUCCUGCUCAGCAAAGGAUGUGCUGGGUGGCAGAAGAGGAUUCUUGGCCGAGCGUGGAAAAUCUCUCUGCUCCUUCCUGAAGGUGAGUUUUUCCAAGUGAGACGCGCACAGCUGGAUUGCAGGGUGCCCUGGAGGAGGUGACCCCCACUUGACAUCGGUUGGGUAUUUUAAAGCAGCUGAGAUUAAGGAGACAUGACAAAGUUGUGCAAAUGUUCCUGGACGUUCCUAGUUCUUGAAUUGCCUAAAGGAACACAAGCAAUGCAGAGAAAGAAAGAAAGAACGAAAGAAAAAGAACAACAACACCUGACGCAAUCUUCCACUUGGAAAGGGCCUCCCAAGGAUCCCUGGUAUCCUCUGAGAGCUCUGAGCUGCCGCACCAAUUUGAAGCUGACUUCAUUUUUGGUCUUCCCCUUCAGCAGAAAAGCUCAGACAGCCGAGCCAAGCGAGACGCUGGAUUUCCUUUGGCAUCAAGGAAAGCAUCGUGAGAUGUUCUGAUGCCCUCUCACAAUUCUUUCUCCCUCCGCCAGCACCAGAGCUGGCGUCCAAAGACGCAAUGACACUGCCACAGGCAUUGUGGAGAUUUCUAUGGGAUAGGGCCAUGGUAAGGCUUUAUUGACAGAGGGAGGGACAAUGAAGAUUGGAUGUCAGGGAGAAGGUCUUUCCAGAGACGGUGGUGAGAUGCUGGAAGCGGAUGCUCAGAGAGCUUGUGGACGCCGCGUCCGUGGCAGUGUUGAAGGCCAGGUUGGAUUGGGCACUCGGCAGCCUAGUCUAGGAUUAGAUAUGAUGCAGAUGGGAUUCAAGCAUCUGUUUUGCAGCCAGCUCGAGUGGAGCUCUUGGAGCUCAUGGGCGCCCCAUGCCCGCAUCAGCGUGGGUAGUGUGUGCCCUUCCUGCGCGGUGGGGCUUUGCUGUUUGGAGGCUGACGCUGAGGAGACUGUGUUUCUUCGUUUAUCGGUGGCAGCAAUCCAGCUCUGUCAGCAGAGGACUCCUGCGGCUGGCUGGCCUCAGCCUGAGAUGUUGAUGCUUCCAUCUCCUCAGGUUCUUUCUGCCUGCUCUUCUUAGCCCUGCGCCUGAGAAGUCUGACUGAGUCGCAUGCCAGAAGUGGCAGCCGGGAUGGAGUGCCUUGCGAUGCCUGCGACGGGCUGGACUGAGCCCUUGAGGAAGGUCUGGAAUCGUUGCUGAAAGAUUCGUUGGCUUUGGGCAACUUGAGCACCGCAGCCACACGAUGGGCUUUUUCCGCUUCCCGUUCUUCCUCACGGAAGCUCACGUGUUUGGUUCCCGGGGCUCGGCCCAGGUCUUCUUGGCUGUCUGUUUCUGCCUGGCCCUGCAGCUGGCAGGUCAGCGGCUGCUUUUGGUCUUCAGGCACUCCAGGGAUGGCUGGCAGCAGACUGAAAGGACAGAGCAGGAGGGGUCCGCCUGAGAGGGUGAUGGUUUUGGGGCCGCGUCCUGCAAGCCGGAGCCAGGACCCUUGGCUGCAACGCAGCCUUCCCCACAGACAGCUCACCGGCUGCCCCGUGGCUCUCCCCCGUGGGAUCCAGAAACAGGGACCCUUUGGGGCUAGGGAAUGGGCUCUCGUUGGCUCAGUCAAUCACCCCCAUGCACAUGCCAAGCCAGAGCCUCCAGCCUCACCUGGACGUAGAGCUCUCCUUGCGCAGUAAGCUCCUUAUCCUUCGGAGUUUUCCUCCAUCUAGACUGUCCGAGCUCAAGCGUUUGAUGAAAGUUGGCUUGCCAGCAAAUCUCACUGGGAUUGGGAAGGCAGAGGAGACUCACCGUCAACCCUUUGGCUCACUCACCAGGGGCGCUCAGGCCUGUUCCCAGAACAUGCGUGAGGGCCGCUCUGCUCCCCCCACUGCUGACAUCUGUGCCGCCCGCGGACCCUCCCUGAAACCAUCUCUGGCCCCACUUCUCCUCUCUGCCAUCUUGGGACUCUCUUUUGGGAGUGCAUUAGUGACGGUGGCUUUGGGAAAGCGGAGCUGGGUGGUGACGAUGAGCUGACAGGGUGACUUUUGGGGACCAUAUCCUUUUGUUGGGGGAGGGCGGGGCCUGAGGUGCCGAGGUGCUCCUGCCAUAGCCAGGGAUGGGGGCACGUCACAGCCAGCGCCUUGGUUUUGGAGAGGCCAACAAUUCCUCGUGGGAAGAGGCCGUGCUGAGCUGGCGUGAAGCUUUGACGUAAGUCAGAGCCCUUGGCUGAUGGUCAGCAAGGGAUUUCCCAUCUCAAGUUGGUGGCUUGUGCCCUGGAAAGGCGCUGGAUGCUGCUUUACCUUUCUUGCCCUGGGCGAGAGGUGGCAAAGCCUCCUCUUCCUUUGGUUUCCCCUCCGCAGGGAUGCCUCCUGAGGACCUGCGGCAUAUCCCAGGUGGUGGUUUGGGGACGAACUCCAUUUGAAACCUGUACGCGAGGAGACGACAGUGAGCGGUGGGACGCAGCGCUCCACCAAUCCUUGUUGCUCUCUCUGAUUGCCUGCUGACAGGCCCAUUUUCAUGCUGCAUGAUGGCCACUGCUUUCUAAAGGCUUCAGCAGGGCCAGGCUGAGAGCAACCUGAUGUGGCGAUAGGUGUCCCUGUUCCCUGCAGGGGAGUGGGACUAGGUGCCCUUUCCGGGUUCCUUCCAGCUCAAAUGAUGCGAUGAUUCUAUGCCAUAUCCUCGUGGGCAGGGCAGGGACACCCAUGGUCACAAGGAACAAAUGCUACGGCAUGAGAGCUGAGCAGCUGCAGCAAGCAGCAGCUACAGCCCCCAACAUACUCACUUGGGAAAGACGACGAGGCAGCCAGAGAGUGCCAGGGAGGCCACCGGUGCCGCUCGGGACACCACCAUGUCCAGCAGCCAGGGGGCCUGCAGGGGAGGAACAGGGAGGAUGUGGGACGUCCUUGUGACGGCUGAGGCACUGGGCACACAAGGAGCCCAAGGCAGGGAGGGCUGAUGGCACCGCAGCACUUGCACGGCGCGAGCAGCUGGCCAGGUGCUGGUGGUAGAAAGCUACAGCUCACCUUGAGAAGAGCUUUCCUGAACUUCUCUUUCCCUGACAGCUUCUCAAGGAAGUCGUAAUAGAAUUUCAUGUGGAAGGUCAGUCCAUCAAUGUGGAGCACUCCAAUGUCCUUGAAGACAACGGCAACGUUCUCCCCAUUCUUCAGGCAGCCAGAGAGCAGGGACACGGUGCUUUGGAUGCAAGCCUGCGCUGUCUGCCAGGUCACAGAGGCAGCUGCGGCCACCUCGCUGCUCUUGAGCGGCUCCAGCUUCCUAUGGGCUGAAAAAUGGGAGGGACGGAGUUGAUGAUACGGUUGGUUUUCCGCAGUGCUUCCCUGGAACUUCUUCUUGUGGCCAUCAGCCAGAACGGCCCCAUGUUUGGCUGGGCUCCUCCGAGGGGGAGGUUUGCUUUGGAGAAUGGAGGCAGUGGCCCUGUUGGCCCAGUGCGUGAAGCCAGCAAAGCUUUAAUCCUCCCUCCUACCUGGCAGGGACUCCCUGCGGGGCUUGAGAUGGUGCACGGCUAUGAGGUUUCCAGACAAGUGAAAGACGGGCCACCGCAGAGUCACGGUCCCGUCCUCAGUCCUGAUGUCUCUGGAGAUGGUGUCAAAGGAUCCGAAGCACAGCAGUCAGGGCAGAAGCAGCCUGAUGGGAUCCAGAGGCUUCCCGCGAGCGGGAUCAGCCCUGAGACAGGACAGCGCCCAGCACAAGUGAUCCUGCAGGAUUUGCAGGAAGCCCAUGGCAUGCCCAGUAGAGACACGUGGGGUGAGUUUCCUGCUUUCUGUGGAGGGGAAGAGUGGGAGGAAGUCUUGGCUGAGGAGGACAGGGAGAGGAGGAACCCGGCAGCCAACCCACCUUCUGCACCAGGAGGUGCUCUUGUACGUAGGCGGCCACCGCAUCCCAGACGGCAACUCGCUCUGGAGGGCAAAGGAAAAGCAGGUCACACUCUGCACCUGCCGCUUCCCGGCAGCCCUCCCGCUGCCAGGCGGGAGUGAGGUGGCAGAUGGAAAGUGUCGUCUGCGUGCCAAGAUUGGCUGUAGCAGCGCUCCUGUGGUGGCUGUGGAGCCGUGUACC